CUCCUAAGGCUAAAUACUCUCUAGUGACCGAUAGUGAACCAGUACCGUGAGGGAAAGGUGAAAAGCACCCCGGAAGGGGAGUGAAAUAGAACCUGAAACCGUGUGCUUACAAGUAGUCAGAGCCCGUUAAUGGGUGAUGGCGUGCCUUUUGUAGAAUGAACCGGCGAGUUACGAUUUGAUGCAAGGUUAAGCAGUAAAUGUGGAGCCGUAGCGAAAGCGAGUCUGAAUAGGGCGUUUAGUAUUUGGUCGUAGACCCGAAACCAGGUGAUCUACCCUUGGUCAGGUUGAAGUUCAGGUAACACUGAAUGGAGGACCGAACCGACUUACGUUGAAAAGUGAGCGGAUGAACUGAGGGUAGCGGAGAAAUUCCAAUCGAACCUGGAGAUAGCUGGUUCUCUCCGAAAUAGCUUUAGGGCUAGCCUCAAGUGAUGAUUAUUGGAGGUAGAGCACUGUUUGGACGAGGGGCCCCUCUCGGGUUACCGAAUUCAGACAAACUCCGAAUGCCAAUUAAUUUAACUUGGGAGUCAGAACAUGGGUGAUAAGGUCCGUGUUCGAAAGGGAAACAGCCCAGACCACCAGCUAAGGUCCCAAAAUAUAUGUUAAGUGGAAAAGGAUGUGGCGUUGCCCAGACAACUAGGAUGUUGGCUUAGAAGCAGCCAUCAUUUAAAGAGUGCGUAAUAGCUCACUAGUCGAGUGACACUGCGCCGAAAAUGUACCGGGGCUAAACAUAUUACCGAAGCUGUGGAUUGUCCUUUGGACAAUGGUAGGAGAGCGUUCUAAGGGCGUUGAAGCAUGAUCGUAAGGACAUGUGGAGCGCUUAGAAGUGAGAAUGCCGGUGUGAGUAGCGAAAGACGGGUGAGAAUCCCGUCCACCGAUUGACUAAGGUUUCCAGAGGAAGGCUCGUCCGCUCUGGGUUAGUCGGGUCCUAAGCUGAGGCCGACAGGCGUAGGCGAUGGAUAACAGGUUGAUAUUCCUGUACCACCUAUAAUCGUUUUA
rnacentral:rRNA from 1 species